rnacentral:ncRNA from 1 species
GUUUGUUGACUCUGAAUACCGUCGUUUACUGUCAGUUUCGACUGACUCUAUCCGAGAAGGGUGUUUGCCCUUUCAACUAGAUGGUAAUCUAUUGGACUACCAUGGUUGUUACGGGUAACGGAGAAUUAGGGUUCGACUCCGGAGAGGGAGCCUUAGAAACGGCUACCACGUCCAAGGAAGGCAGCAGGCGCGAAACUUAUCCACUGUUGAGUAUGAGAUAGUGACUAAAAAUAUAAAGACUCAUCCUUUUGGAUGAGUUAUUUCAAUGAGUUGAAUAUAAAUUAUUCUUCGAGUAGCAAGGAGAGGGCAAGUCUGGUGCCAGCAGCCGCGGUAAUUCCAGCUCUCCUAGUGUAUCUCGUUAUUGCUGCGGUUAAAAAGCUCGUAGUUGGAUCUAGGUUACGUGCCGCAGUUCGCAAUUUGCGUUAACUGUGGUCGUGACUUCUAAUUUGCUGGUUUGAGGUUGGGUUCGCCCUUCAACUGCCAGCAGGUUUACCUUGAAUAAAUCAGAGUGCUCAAUACAGGCGCUUGCUUGAAUAGCUCAUCAUGGAAUAAUGAAACAGGACUUCGGUUCUUUUUGUUGGUUCUAGAAUUGAUCUAAUGGUUAAGAGGGACAAACCGGGGGCAUUCGUAUCAUUACGCGAGAGGUGAAAUUCGUGGACCGUAGUGAGACGCCCAAUAGCGAAAGCAUUUGCCAAGAAUGUCUUCAUUAAUCAAGAACGAAAGUCAGAGGUUCGAAGGCGAUUAGAUACCGCCCUAGUUCUGACCGUAAACGAUGCCAUCUCGCGAUUCGGAGGGUUCAUGCCCUACCGAGGAGCUACCCGGAAACGAAAGUCUUUCGGUUCCGGGGGUAGUAUGGUUGCAAAGCUGAAACUUAAAGAAAUUGACGGAAGGGCACCACAAGGCGUGGAGCUUGCGGCUUAAUUUGACUCAACACGGGAAAACUCACCCCGGUCCGGACCCUAUUAGGACUGACAGAUUGAAAGCUCUUUCUCCGAUUUGGUGG